GCAGUGCGGGGGCAACCCUGGCGGCGAGCGGCGAAUGGGUGAGUAAUGCAUCGGUACGUGUCCUCUUGUGGGGGAUAACCAGUCGAAAGACUGGCUAAUACCGCAUGAGAUCGAGAGAUGAAAGCGGGGGACCGCAAGGCCUCGCGCGAGAGGAGCGGCGGAUGCCGGUAUUAGCUAGUGGGGGGGGUUAAAGCCCACCAAGGCGAGGGUCAGUAGCUGGUCUGAGAGGAUGACCAGCCACACUGGGAUUGAGAUCUCGGCCCAGACGAUUACGGGAGGCAUUCACUCGAUCUUGUGAUUAACUCANGCCUCCGGAAUAUUCUGCG
rnacentral:misc_RNA from 1 species